rnacentral:lncRNA from 1 species
GCUAAAACGACAUGGCGGCCAUAUUGAAUUUCAUAUUGACAGUUCCAAAGAUUUUGCAGCAGAGGCACAAGGAAGUGAAAGGUUUUAGUGGAAUAAUCAGCGAUUUCAGGACAUUUGUCCUUAACCUUUAAUGGUUGUGUUGCAACCAAGACAUGGACGAAGAUGAACGACAGAGGAAACUAGAUGCUGGAAGAGCAAAGGUCUGUAACGACUUAUGGGUAAUGCAUCAAAGUAGCUAUCUAGCCAACAAGUUAACCUAGCUAAAUGUAUCAGUAUCAGCAACAUUGUCGUACAAUAAAGUAAUAGGUUGCAGUUGCUAGAUAUAGGGCCUUGAGUAAGUUCAAGUUUUAGCAACUAAUUGAAUCGCUAACAAAGCUAACUAACUACAUUACAUGUAGCUAUGGUUAGGCGAGUCUAAACUAGCUACAGUAUUAGUAACUAGGUAAACUCUUUGUUAUUCAUGAAUUAUAAUGACCCACUUUGUGGCUUGCUAAAACAAAUGUUGGUGUUCUACCGGUGACUCAACAACCCAGCUGACGUUAUACUGCCUAUUUGAACUAUAGUCUCAUCUACUGUUGUAAUAACUUACCUUGGUUAAUGACUUAACUAAAUGCACCCAGUGUACAACUGUUUAUUAACGUAGUUAGCAUUUGGCUAGUUGCAGUAGAAACGGUUUCUUAUUCUGUUUGCUACCCAGCCCAAAUAUAUUCCCCUUCUGUUUACUAAUUAGUUUAGGCCGCUUACUGGGAGAGUAUCAUCCCUGCUUGCCAAGUCGAUGCAGGUGAUGAUGGCAGCCAGGAUUUGGUUCGUCUGUGUAUGUGGUUGCGUUUGAGAUACACAUUCUCUGCACAAUUCUACGCAGAUGAUCCGAUAUUUGCACUGCACGGAGCAGGUGUUGGUAUGACUUUGUUCACAGUACCUUAAUUGAUAAACCAUUGUUAUUAUGACAGAAAUCCACCAACAUGCAGCGCAGCAGUUGCUUGCUAGCUUCCGACAGAAAAGGGCAAAAGGCGACGAUCAAGUCGCGCAGAAAAAGACGCAGAAGAGGAAGGGCCCGUCUCCAACGCAGAAUGACGGCCCAGCGCAAGGUCGCCCCUUAGGGAUGGACCUCCAGACAGACAGCAACGCCACACAGCAGGACCACAUGUGUAACCAUGAGGAAUCACAAUGUUUUGGGGAGACAGAUCAGAGCCAUCUUCCAGAGGUCCAGUGGAGCCAGGGGCACUUGGAGCAACACCAUCCCCAGGAGGGAAGCCAUGCCCUGGGGAGGCAGGCGGUCAGUGGGCAUUCUGAGGAGAUGGAGGUUGUGGGAGAGGAGGUCCUAGUGGUUCGCACUGGAAAAGAUCAACUCAAGGUACUGAACUGUACUUACACACACGGUUUAUUUAAGCAAUAAGGCCCGAGGAGGUGUGGUAUAUGGCCAAUAUACCACGGCUAAGGAUACAGUGCUUGGAUACAAACCCC